CACAGAUGGUGGUGGCUGGGCCUCUCACCUGCUCCUCAUAUUCUCUGUUGUUGUUUUUUUCUUACGUAUAUCUUCAGUUAUUGUGUGUGUGUGUGUGUGUGUGGCGCAUUACAGCCGGUGAGGGGCAUGCCCCCCCCCCGUUACCCGCUGCGGCCUAGUCACCAUCUGUCACCAGUAGCACUCAAUUUGUUUGUAGAGGCGCAUUUGGUUAUUCCUACAGCUGAUGGAAAUUUAAUUGUUUUGUAUGAACACUAUAUUUUAAGUAAAUGUUGAAAUCAGGGGAAUUUUAUUGCCUCACUCUGACUUCAGUGAUCUGUAGAUCCGUUGUUAAAUUAUUUAUGAGGCACUACUUAACCCUGUGCUACCAGUGGUUCCCAAUGUCUUUCUUUCAGUUGCUCAACUUCUCGUGAUUUGAUCUACACACUAUGCAUCAGCUAAUGCAUUCUAAUACAACCGCCCGACAACUCUCUCCCUCAUUCUCUUCUAUCAGCGAAGUAGACAGCCCAAAUAAAAAUUGACCAAUGGUACCCCCUAGAGGGGAUUUACUCUCAUGAUGAACAUUACUAAUUGCUUGUGAUCUCUUCUCAGACUGCUAUGGCUGGUUCCACACCUGCAGAAUCCAGAUUAACAUUGAAAAACUAACACUUCCAAAUGCUUGCCAGAGUCUCUAGAUAUCUUCACUGCAAGAUGAAGACAACCUUUAGGUUAAAGGGCAACCUCUGACUUCAAUACAUGGAUUAAGAUUUUGCCAAUUACUUAUUUAAUCUAAAUUCUACCACUGAAUUUCAGGGACAAGUAGGAGGCCAAACAGUUGGUUCAAUAUGCGAUGGGCAAGAAACCUGGUGGAGACCGUAGUGCCAUGAAUACAAAAAAGUCUUGUAGGACACAACUGCAAUUGCUGAUUAUGGGCGGUCGACCUAAACUGACAGACCUGUCCAGGUCAAAGGAGGCUCAUGGAUCUUGGGGAGAAGAUGGGCGAGGCCUGAGCUCUUAAUCAAGGACUGUCCAGAGAAAACAGGCUCCUGCCUUGAUCGCCAGAAGUGGUCAAGCAGUUUCAGCCUCUUGUGAGAGUGGAAAUUACCAGCAGUCUUGAGUGAUUUGAGUGAACGUGUCUCUCUGUUACAAACCCGAUCUUUCCUUUAAUGGAAUCGGGUUGAGUGUUGCUGCUGGCUCUGUGUAGCUGUACGAUCGGCACUGCAGGUGUAUUGGUGCGAAGCUCCCUGACGGGUAUGUAUGUAUAUCAGUGGCAUCGCGUGUAUGUUCUUAAAUCAUAAACUGUCAUUGAAUUUGGUUUGUUUGUGCACGCCAGGGUUGUAAAAUUGCUUCACGUGCGCUGGUAUCUGCACCAGCCCCUCCCUUCCCUGCCACGGUGCUGUUUUGUCGCCGCUGACUUUGGGUUUAAACUACGUUCAACGGGUUGCAGCUACACAACUGUAAAUUCCUCCAGGCGUUGAGCGCCUCACAGCGCCCGGAUCUGUUGCUUAAAGUGACAGGGCUGUCUGAUUGCAACCCGGUUGAUAGUUUGCCUUUUUUUGGUUUGCCCGUGCUUGCUACUAUGUGUAUGGAGAUUGGGGUUUAUUUGUUAAAUUAUGAUUUUAAGUGAUGUUGGUUUAUAUUUCUAAGUUUCGAUAAGAAGACUAAUUUUGGUUGGAAUUCUAUUAUCUGUUAAUUUUGGUUAUUUUAGUUGGUAGGCUCUAGUGGUGCCGAAGGUGGUGGUGUGUCUCUCUCCAGUGUGCUGUGUUUUCCCCGUUUGGUUUAAUUUGAGUCGUUUGCUGCAGUGUGAUUGGGGUGAUCCUUCUCUGAGACCCCAUUGACCCUGUCCCUCCACCGGUAAGACCUCAGCACUUACUUUCCCUAUUUAGUAGGUCUGGUAUUUUAAAUGGUAUUUUAUAUUUGUUUUAGUAAUUGUAUUAAAUAAAAUCAUUGUUGUAACGGAACUACGUCUCUGGCUUCAUGCAUGAAUCAAAUCUGUGUGCUUUAGUAAAAUACUAUUCUCGGGGUGAAAUUCCCCGGGUGGCGUUGCCAGUGUCAUCAGUGUUGAGCGGGCCAAAAAGGCACUCCACACCAAAAGAGUUCCACUCGCCACAUAAUGCUUGUCAUGCAGGCUGUGUGACAGGUCUAAUAACAUGUUCUGUUUUUCCUAACUGUCAAGAGCCUGACUGGUGCAUAAUGUAUUAAAUGAAUCUGCUUCUAAUAUGUUGUAUGUCCUGAAAUAUGCCGCCCUCUUUAGCUGCUUCAUUUAAUAUUUGCAAUUUCCCUGUAUGUGCAAAAAGCUGCCAUCAUUGUUCGGGAAAAAUUCCGGUUGCGUUAGGUAAAGUAGUUUUAGAAGUGGCCCAGCAACUUCAGUAUGCUGUGAAAAUUGCCAGCUGACUUAUGGAUUUGAGUGAGAGGUAAGACCUUUUCUCCAGUACUGAUUUUGUUAUGUCAUGCAGGCUGUGUGACGGGUCUAAUACUGUUUAGAAGGCCUGACUGUUUUGCUUAUGCAUCUGCUUAUAAAUAUGUACUGAACUACGUGUGUGUGUGU
ensembl:lncRNA